GUGUGGGAGCCAUGAAGUCAUGGCUCAGGCUUGUAGCGCCACCUGGUGCCUCGCUGACCUCAGUGACCUGCAUGUCCGUGCCUUGCAGUGUAUUAAGGGCAUGACCCUAUAAGGCGAUGGGUGGGUUUAAGCCAUGACCGGAGGUAGGUAAUGUGAGACACUGGCAAACAGCCAUGCGGCUGGAGAGAGACAAAGGAUAAAAAAAAAGCUACGGGAGGAGAGAGAAGUUUGAAAGGAGCUGCUCAUACCAUCCUGAAAAUAUUGCUGGCUCUCUGUGUCUUUAUUUUAUGCUAAACUGCGCCAUUUGUAACGGCUGGCUCCGACAAGUGGUGCCCCGUGUGAGGCUGAAUAAAAGAAUACGUCUGAGGCUUUUAAAAGAAAACCGUGUGAGGCAACUUAAAGAAAACAGUCUGAGGCAGACUAAGAGGAUUUUAAAAGAAAACCGUGUGAGGUUUUUCGAUCCAAGCAAAGGAUAUCAUCGGCUCACCACGCCCGGCAAGGGUUGCAAGCGCUAAUCAUCUUAAAAAGAUCCCGGUGAGUUUGAUCUCUCUUUUAUAUUGAUUUUAGAAAAAUGGGCAGCUC